rnacentral:rRNA from 1 species
AUGCACUCAACCCAACACGAUCUUUUUUUGCAGGAAGACCCAAGGCCAGAGCAAGUUGGGUUCGGGUAUAGAGUUGUAAGCGCAGUGGGGGUGACAGAGGAUGUGCUCGUACGGUUCAUAAUUGUGUAUGAUAUUCUCAUGGAUUGUUGGGAUCGUCCUCUCUAUUCGAAAUAUGCCUUUCUAGGAGCACUACGAUCUGCAGCUCAAAUGGCCCCUUAUGAAGUCUCUAUUAGUCUUAUUCUUAUUGUGCGUCUUGUGAGCAUGUUCAGAUCCGCGAAGACAAUCGCUUAGAUCUUCCCCUAA